AACGUGCUUGCAGACAACACGUGUCUCAUUAGCAGGAAGCCAUUUUGCUCCUAUCUCGAAACGAAGACUCUCAGAACUCAUCUAAGAUGCCACGUGGAAAGGGUUUCCGCCGGUCCCAGGCGGCCAAGAGGAGGAAUGCUGAGCGUUACACGCUCGGUUCCUUCAUGGAUGUCAUUGAGGUUAUGCCUCCUUUAAAACAAAAGGCUGCUCCCCACAGCUCUGACAAACAGAGCCAUGAGAACGCUGACAGAGAGAAUGCCGACAGAGAACGCUCACAGAGAAAACUGUUUGAAUUGCCGUAAGGCUCCUGAAAAUGUUCCAAACUCUAUCACAAAUGUUCCAAAGUUUGCUACAAGUGUUGCCAAAAGUGUUCCAAAGUCUACCAAAAGUGUUCCAAAGUCUGCCACAAGUGUUACUAAAAGUGUUCCAAAGUCUGCCACAAGUGUUACUAAAAGUGUUCCAAAGUCUGACACAAGUGUUCCAGUGUCUAGCAAAAGCUGGAGUGAUGUUACCAGAGCUUCACUUGUCAAUAACUCUGGUUAUUUCCCACAGAAAGUCAUACGUGGUUCUUUCCAUCAGGGUGAUGCGCGAUUUGGUUCGAACAGAAACCGUCAGUGUGCAGUGAACAGUAUCACAGCAGUCAUGACGAGUGUGCUGAAGGAUGUGCUGACGUGGACAACAGAGGACCUGAAUGCUGUUCUGUUGCAUGGAGAUGAGCUGUACACAUCAAUGACACUGCAGGGGCAGAUCCACGAUCGAACAGGGCUGGGUCAUAUUUCUGUUGCAGAAAUGCCCAUACUGCACACACUUGAUAACACAACAUUCUCAAUAAAGCAUGGAGAAUC